CAAGAGAAAGGGGUGCUUUUCUCACAAGAAGAAUACUAGCUUUUUCAAGCUGCUUCAUCCCUGUUUGUCUCCUUACCGCCUACCUGCUGUCACUCUGUCACUCCACGCUUACGCGUUUUUCUUCAGUUUGAUCACUUCA
rnacentral:ribozyme from 1 species